rnacentral:tRNA from 1 species
UAAUUAAUUAAUUGGCAGAAAAAUGCAUUAGAAUUAGAAUCUAAUCAAACUUUA